AUUGAACGCUGGCGGCAGGCCUAACACAUGCAAGUCGAACGAGUGGCGGACGGGUUUGUAAUGUCUUGGACACUGCCUGAUGGAGGGGGAUAACUACUGGAAACGGUAUCUAAUACCGCAUACCCUCGGAUGUGCCCAGAUGGGAUUAGCUAGUAGGUGGGGUAAAGGGUCACCUAGGCGACGAUCCCUAGCUGGUCUGAGAGGAUGACCAGCCACGCGGGAAAUGAGUCACGGUCCAGACUCCUACGGGAGGCAGCAGUGGGGAAUAUUGAACAAUGGGCGCAAGCCAGAUGAAGCCAUGCCGCGUGGAUGAAGAAGGAAUUAGGGUUGUAAAGUACUUUCGGCGGGGAGGCGUUACACGCAGAAGAAGCACCGGCUAACUCCGUGCCAGCAGCCGCGGUAAUAC
rnacentral:rRNA from 1 species